rnacentral:rRNA from 1 species
UGACAGUACUCCUACGGGGAGGCAGCAGUCGGGGGAAUAUUGCACAAUGGGCGCAAGCCUGAUGCAGCCAUGCCGCGUGUGUGAAGAAGGCCUUCGGGUUGUAAAGCACUUUCAGUCGUGAGGAAGGUAGUGUAGUUAAUAGCUGCAUUAUUUGACGUUAGCGACAGAAGAAGCACCGGCUAACUCCGUGCCAGCAGCCGCGGUAAUACGGAGGGUGCGAGCGUUAAUCGGAAUUACUGGGCGUAAAGCGCAUGCAGGUGGUUUGUUAAGUCAGAUGUGAAAGACCCGGGGCUCAACCUCGGAAUAGCAUUUGAAACUGGCAGACUAGAGUACUGUAGAGGGGGGUAGGAAUUUCAGGUGUAGCGGUGAAAUGCGUAGAGAUCUGAAGGAAUACCGGUGGCGAAGGCGGCCCCCUGGACAGAUACUGACACUCAGAUGCGAAAGCGUGGGGAGCAAACAGGAUUAGAUACCCCUGGUAG